GCCCCGCCCAUCGGCUCGGGUCCCAGGGCUUCCGGUGCCGGGAGGGGCGGGGGCGCCUGGGAUGAGCUUGGCAGUUUGCCGAGCUGGAGGAGUUGGGUUUCCUACUGGAAAGGGUUGGCCGCUUCCCACCAGAGCCCCUGGACACAGCACCCUCUCGCGUCCCCACCCUGGGAACCCCUGAGUCCUCCGAGGUCAGGAUCCUGCGGGUGGAAGCUGCGGCCUUAGCGCCCUAAGUUGAACAGAAGUGCGGACAUCCUAACCCGCGGUAAGGAGGGCAGGGAGCGCCAGAACCCCCAUUCCAGCAGCCUGUGCGUGGAGGAGGUGAUGAGCCUUGGACAACCCCCACUGCCUUGGCCCCAAGUUACUCUGGGAACCGAAGCUGGCUCUGGAGACGCUGGUUGCAGAGAGGCCUGAGAAUUUCAUCAAGAAUAAACUGUACCUUAAAGGUAACAGAAUUUCUUCUCUUGGAUUUUUCUGGCCCAUGAAAACUUCAGUUACUGCAAGCCUCAAUUUUUGUACAAAUAUACCACUCUGCCCUAACGGAGAAUGGUCUCAUCAUCACCAUAACUUCUGUGGACCCAUUCCUCCACAAGCCAUGUACUUCUUUUUAAGGAAUCUGUCCCUAUUUGAUCUUUGCCUCAUUUGUGCAGUUGUCCCAAGGACUGUUGUCAACUCAUUGGCCCAGAACAAUUCCAUCUCAUUUCUUAGUUGUGUCACCCAGGACUUUCUCAUGUUUUAUCAGCAGGUGCAAACCUUUUACUACUCACAGCAACAUCCUUUGACUGCCAUGCUGCUAUUUGCCAUCAUCUGCACUAUGAAGUCAUGAACAGGGACAUGUGUUUGCAGAUGGUAGCUGAAUCUUGGUUCUAUGGUGGCUUUAUAUCCCUUAUGCACACUAUAGGCACCUUUUCUUUUUCUUACUGUGGACUCAAAAAAAUUUAACAAUUUUUUCUGUGAUCUUCCGCACUUGCUUUCUGUCCCUUGUUCAGAGGAUAUAACUACACAAAUUGUGGUCAUUCACCUUAUUGCAGUACUUGAUUUAUUCUGGUUUAUCAGCAUCAUAAUCUCAUACAUCUACAUCUCUUCCACUAUUAGAAAGAUUCCCUAACACAAGGGCAGCCAAAAGACUAUUCAACUUGCAUCCCACACCUGGAAGUUGUUGUGAUUUUCCUCUCAACUGCUUUCAUUGCUUACCUGAAGCCAAUUUUUGGGGUAUACAUUAUUCACUGAUAUCAUUCUAUCUGCUUGUUAUAUUUUAUUGCACAUUUCCUUUAAUCCUAUAAUAUACAGUCUGAGAAACAAGGUCAUGAAGAAAGGAUUGAAGUGGCUAAUCAUUAGAAAACUCAAAAAAGAAAAUUAUUAGAUUUCCUCAAGAAUAGAGGUGUUCCCCUCUUAACAUUUGUUUAAAUAAAUUGUUAACUUAAA